rnacentral:rRNA from 1 species
AAGGGCACCACAAGAACGCGUGGAGCAUGUGGCUUAAUUUGACUCAACGCGGGAAAUCUUACCGGGUCCGGACACACUGAGGAUUGACAGGCAAUAUUAAAACAGUUUCUUCUGAUUCUGUUUUAUGUUAAAUAUGCUAGUCCUUUCAUGAUUAUGUGAUAGGUGGUGCAUGGCCGUUCUUAGUUCGUGGAGUGAUCUGUCUGCUUAAUUGCGUUUCACUAAGGACUCUGUUUUACGUGUGUUGCAGCUAGCUCUGACCCUUAACUGUGUGUCUUUGUUUAGUCUGCUCACACAUCUGAGUCCUCAAUGCAACGAACGUGACCGCAACCUCUUGUUGCCUUUAGCUCCUGCAGUUUUUCUCUUCGGAGAUUCUCUGCAUUAAAGGCUCUUUAAAACUAGAGGGACCGCUGUAAUCUUUUUAAACCAGAGGAAGGUUGCGGCAAUAACAGGUCUGUGAUGCCCUUAGAUGUUCCGGGCUGCACACGUGCUACAAUGAUUGUUGCAGUGAGCAUCUCAAUUGAUACACCGCUUGCGUAGUGGCUAAUUUCGGUUAGUUCAUUUUACGCGCGGUAAAGCCUACUUCGAAAGUAAGUGGGUAAUCAAUUAGAAGUAACGAUUUCCCUUUAGCACAUCUAUGUACGGCUGUUAUGUCCGACUGAGCUUGUCUCAGUUUUGCGUACAUUUCAGUUUUCCGUACGUGCAACUGUUAAUUCAUGGUGGGGACAGACCAUUGUUAAUUGUUGGUCUCGGUCUCAACUAGGAAUGCCUUGUACGGGUCUUUGGUUCAACAGACCACCCGGAAUACGUCCCUGCCCUUUGUACACACCGCCCGUCA